CACACACACACACACACACACACACAUUCGUACGCACUGAAACAACUUCCAUACCUCACGAAAACAUAUUUAAACAGAUGGAAAAAACUAUCGCAGAACACAGUGUCACGUAGCAACUGGUCUUUACGGUCGUCUGAAACAACAGGUCAGUUUGGGGUACAAAGGAGGGUUCAGUUUUUAUGGGAGCUUGAGAAUGUCGUAUGAAUAGCAACUGGCCACCCAUUUGACAGUUUAAAUGUUUACGAUCGUCUGAAACAACAGGACACGCACGCACGCACACACGCACGCACACACACACACAUACACACACACACGCACACACACACACACACACACACACACACACACACACACACACACACCAUUACCUCUGCUUUACCAUGUUAUUAGACAUUGGUUUAACUCCAUUUAAGCAUUUAAACGUUAAAAGCAUUGCACUUGUACGACGUUGUAAUACUUUUUUUUUACCAGCCGAUGACGACGAAGUGAAAGACGAUGAACUUUGCUUAAACAGUCUUACAAAGUUGGAAGAUGAUUAUCGAGGUGUGUUUAAACCUUCGAAUUAUUUAAUAUUGUGUGUAUUCAUUAUUUUGUUUUAUAGAGGAUUUGCCGUAAGAUCCUAACGCGAUCGUUUUAACACAAUCGCAGUCUGGUGAGUCAAAUGAUUCUCAUUUUACAAGAAAAAAAACAUGCGGUAUACGAUACAUAUAUACAUAUAUUUACUUACAUCUCCGGCUCGCUGGUCUCCCUUAAAGCUGGCGGGUCCGUCAACGGCCGUUCCAGGCAGAGGAGAAGGCUUGAUUGUGCCAAAGACUCCAGACAUCGAAUCCUUGCUCCGAGGGGAAAUCAUCGAAAACGACGGUGAAUGUCCGACAGGCACCCGCUAUUGGUAGCACUGGACAAGUCGGAUAUCCUUGCUUGGAUCCUUUUAAAGUUGCCCGAUAAACUGCUGAGAGUUGAUCUCUCCUCUUGUCCAAAGGUUUUUCGUUCAUUUUUACUUGUAAUACUGGCACUAGGGUUGAUGUAGUAGCUCCACAACAUAACCUUAAAGCCUGUGACUGGAUCCGGUCUAUUUUCCCAAGUCAUGUUUUUGAAGCAGAUUGGUAAAUAAUGCAUCCGUAAUCAAUAACAGAUGGAAUUAAAGUUAUAAAUAUAUACAUGUAUUGUUUUCAACGUUAACCUAUCAGCCCCCCAAUCAUUACCCCUCAAAGACCUCAUUAUAUUUAACACCUUUUUACUUUUUCCCCUAUUUUUUUAUUUUCCGGAAGGAACACUCCUGAAGGAAUAAAUAAAGUACUAUCUAAUCUAAUCUAAUCAAAUCUAUUUUGCUGAUGUGGGUUGACUAGUUCAUAUUUUUAUCAAACCAUAUUCCUAAAUAUUUAAAUACUUGUACCUCUUCUAUAUUUUCACCUUAGAGUUUUUAUUUGGAGCUUGUUUUGUACUUUUGUCUUUGUAAAAUGUAUGACUUUUGUCUUUCCAACAGAGAAUCUUAAACCUCAAGCCGUUCCCCAGUCUUGAACAUUAUUUACCACUUUGUUAGUUUUUUGAUUAUUUCUUUUGACUCUAAAUAAUAUACUAGUCUUUCAUUAAUCUUUUUUUUUUUCCAUUACUUUUCCCCAAAUUUAUAAUUUCCUGCCUCUUCCGGGUCUUACCCUGACUUGCAUAUUGGAAUUGUUACCGCUAAUUUUCCCCUCUGCCGGUCAUUCUCCUUCUUCAUAUAUCCUGUCAUAUCAUUUCAAGACCACUUCUUUGACGAUGCCACCUAAGUUUUUGAUCAUUUGAUAACCCGCUAGGUCUUUCCCCGGUGACGUAUUUUUAACCUUUUUCAAAAUUCGAACCAUUUCAUUCAAAGAAAAUGUCAUAUCCAUAGUGUUGGUAAAGCUAUUAACGUUGUCUUCCAUCAUUUCCCCAAUAUUUAAACUCAUUGUUUUUUCUCUCUUUUGUUUUUCCACAUUUCUCAAAUUAUCAUUACUGUGCACUUUAACACAUUUUUUUUGCUAAAGGUUCUGCUGUUUCUUUACCCGUGACUACAUCUUCUUUAAUAAAUGUGGCACAUCAUCCUCUUUA